CCCAUUACUGUACACAAUAAUACUGUGCCCAUUCAUUAACAUAUUAAACAUCAGGCGUCUUGUUUACACAUUUAAACCAUAUUUGCACUUCGAAUUUCGACUCCAAAUUGUAGUAACUACAUCUACGAAGUCUAAGGAAGAUAACCAGGUAGUCUUUUCAAAGAUUACGUCGAUUUUAUGAGAACGCCAGCCCUCAGAAAAGCAGUAACUAUUCAUUCAUUCACUUCCUUUUUUCUAGCUCGCAAAAUCGCGGCUGUUCUGUUUACACAUUAAAACCAUUACACUUCGAAUUUCGCCUCCAAAUUGUAGUAACUACAUCUACGAAGUCUAAGGAAGAUAACCAUGUAGUCUGUUCAAAGAUAAGAUAAAUUUUGACAAAACUACAGACCUCGUGAAAGUAUCCUAGUAGCCUACAUAAA